UACGUAGGGAGCAAGCGUUGUCCGGAAUCAUUGGGCGUAAAGCGCGCGUAGGUGGCCACAUAAGUCCGUUGUGAAAGUCAAAGGCUCAACCUUUGAAAGCCGAUGGAUACUGUGUGGCUAGAGUACGGAAGAGGCGAGUGGAACUGCGAGUGUAGAGGUGAAAUUCGUAGAUAUUCGCAAGAACACCAGUGGCGAAGGCGGCUCACUGGCCCGAUACUGACGCUGAGGCACGAAAGCGUGGGGAGCAAACAGG
rnacentral:rRNA from 1 species